GCAAGUCGAACGGUAACAGGUCUUCGGAUGCUGACGAGUGGCGCACGGGUGAGUAACGCGUACACAACCUACCUUUAAGAGGUGAAUACCCUCUGGAAACGGAGAAUAAUACACCAUAGUAUUAUCUGAUAGAUAAUUGGUUGAUUAAAGCUACGGCGCUUAAAGAUGGGUGUGCGUACUAUUAGCUAGUUGGUAAGGUAACGGCUUACCAAGGCGACGAUAGUUAGGGGGCGUGAGAGCGUGAAC
rnacentral:rRNA from 1 species